rnacentral:misc_RNA from 1 species
GAGCAGUGGAGCCCUGCCCUGACAAUAUCCAAGGUGUUGCUCUCUAUAUGUUCACUGUUGACGGAUCCAAACCCAGAUGAUCCCUUGGUGCCAGAAAUUGCUCAUAUGUACAAGGCAGACAGGGCCAAGUAUGAGGCGACUGCUAGGAGCUGGACUCAGAAGUAUGCCAUGGGCUAGUGAUCUGCGGUUGGGAGAUUUAGGAUAUCAAUCAUUAUCAUGUAUAAAUGAUGUGAUCUGUGCCUUCACUCUUGAACAAGUAAAGAACAGAUUUAUACAGUUCACCCCAUGAAAACAAGAUAUUGUAGUUUAUUGGUACGGAAGAUAAAUCUUGAAUAGGAAAGAUUUGUAGUUGUUCAAUAUACCCAUUAAGAUUUAAAUAAGUGCAUAUAUGGUCUCAUGCCGGCAUAGUGCUUUGUAGGCAAAUUUUCCUAGAUUGGUGGUUGUGGCAAAUAUUUUGCUCUCCUAGUUGUCCUGUGGAUCAUUCGCUCAUUUCAA